CACGUAGGGGGCAAGCGCUGUCCGGAUUUAUUGGGCGUAAAGAGCUCGUAGGCUGUUCGAUAAGUCGGGUGUGAAACCUCCAGGCUCAACCUGGAGACGCCACCCGAUACUGUCAUGACUAGAGUCCGGUAGGGGAGCGUGGAAUUCCUGGUGUAGCGGUGAAAUGCGCAGAUAUCAGGAGGAACACCAGCGGCGAAGGCGGCGCUCUGGGCCGGUACUGACGCUGAGGAGCGAAAGCGUGGGUAGCAAACAGG
rnacentral:rRNA from 1 species